rnacentral:rRNA from 1 species
CAGUAGCCGCGGGAAUACGGAGGGUGCAAGCGUUAAUCGGAAUUACUGGGCGUAAAGCGCACGCAGGCGGUCUGUCAAGUCAGAUGUGAAAUCCCCGGGCUUAACCUGGGAACUGCAUUUGAAACUGGCAGGCUAGAGUCUUGUAGAGGGGGGUAGAAUUCCAGGUGUAGCAGUGAAAUGCGUAGAGAUGUGGAGGAAUACCGAUGGCGAAGGCAGCCCCCUGGGCCAAUACUGACGCUCAUGCACGAAAGCGUGGGGAGCAAACAGGAUUAGAUACCCGCGUAGUCCCUGUCUCUUAUAC